rnacentral:rRNA from 1 species
UGGAUGCUGACGAGCGGCGGACGGGUGAGUAAUGCAUAGGAAUCUGCCCGGUAGUGGGGGAUAACCUGGGGAAACCCAGGCUAAUACCGCAUACGUCCUACGGGAGAAAGGGGGCUUCGGCUCCCGCUAUCGGAUGAGCCUAUGUCGGAUUAGCUAGUUGGUGAGGUAACGGCUCACCAAGGCCACGAUCCGUAUCUGGUCUGAGAGGAUGAUCAUCCUCAUCGGGACUGAGACACGGCCCGAACUCCUACGGGAGGCAGCAGUGGGGAAUAUUGGACAAUGGGGGGAACCCUGAUCCUGCCCUGCCGCGUGUGUGAAGAAGGCCCUCGGGUUGUAAAGCACUUUCAGCGAGGAAGAACGCCUAGCGGUUAAUACCCGCUAGGAAAGACAUCACUCGCACAAGAAGCACCGGCUAACUCCGUGCCAGCAGCCGCGGUAAUACGGAGGGUGCAAGCGUUAAUCGGAAUUACUGGGCGUAAAGCGCGCGUAGGUGGCUUGAUAAGCCGGUUGUGAAAGCCCCGGGCUCAACCUGGGAACGGCAUCCGGA